CAUGUAGAAAGCUUUUUGAUUGCUUGUUUGGACGAGAGUUCGAUUCUCUCCGACUCCACAA
rnacentral:tmRNA from 1 species